GUGUGUGUGUGUGUGUGUGUGUGUGUGUGUGUGUGUGCAUGUGCACACGUUAUAAAAGUAGAUCCAAAGGGUCAGAGAGGCUGCAGCAGAGUUCAAAGGUUUCAGAAGGGGGCUGAUAGAAAUGUAAAUAGUGUAUUGAUAAAACAAGGGACCCAAAUCGCAGAGUCAGAUCACUGUGGACUUAAAGCUGAGAGCAAGUACGCCAAAUUGAAUUCAGCUUGAAGGUAAGCUGGUUGGACCAGGUUCAGAGCCAAAACAAGGAGACAGAUGAUGGACAAGAGGUCAAGGCAGUGGGAGUUGAUGAGGCCACAGCAACAUCAGGGACUGAGCCUUCCUGAACUCCUAAGGAUCGUUAAGAGUUUUCUGUGUGUCUGUCACACUAAGUGACAGAACAAAGGUCAGUGGGUGCCAUUGUCCUCAUAGUGCUGAGUGUCUAUCUCUUUAUGUGAUCCAAAUGAAGAAGCUACACUCUUUCCUUAGUCUGGCAUGUGUGAUACAUUCUUGCCUGUUUUUUCUCUAGUAUAAUCUUAAAAUGCCUGUCUGUAUAUCUCUAUAUUAUAAAUUCAUCCUGAUGAUUUUAUAGGCUAGCACCCUUUUUUACUCCAGGAAAUACGUCAUUCAUCAAUUUGUGCUUCAUGGGUGGUACGGGCAGAGCCCCUCAGUUACAGUUGUCCUCCAUCCUCUAGAAGGAAUCAAAAGCUGCUUGUAAAUUAUGGUUUCUUAGGGCAAGGUACAACCUCAGGAACUACUACUUUACACAGUGUGGAGGAACUAAAAGCAGGGUACAAGGAUCCCUGAGCUAGGAUCCAGAAUAAAUUCUUUCACCUUUACAUAGUUUCUGUCACACAUUCUGUCACAAUGAAAAAAAG
rnacentral:lncRNA from 1 species